CAAGAAAAGGAUUUUAGUCCAACCUAAAGUAACUCUAGACACCUGAUUCCUCCCCCCACCUUCUUUAGAGCAAUUCAAAUGAGGUACAGCCCAUUUGAUACAGGAUACAACCUUAACUAACGGGUAAUAUUUAAUUUACACCCUCAAGUUGGCCUAAUAGCAGCCACCUUUUAAAAAGCGUCAAAGCUUAACCCUUGUUAAUCCAAUUUAAAAUUUCAUGUUUAUCCCUUUAACUAUAUUGAGAACUUCUAUAGCCCCUAUAGAACCUUUAAUGCUAAAACUAAUAACAAGAGAAAACACCUCUCCUAAAUGCAAGCAUAAGUCACCAAGAACCCACCAUUGACAACUAGCAGACCCAGAAGGUAGCAACCUCACUAGAAAACCCUAUCCACCCACCUGUUAACCUGACACCAGAGCAUUUCAAGAAAGAUUAAAAGAAAAAAAAGGAACUCGGCAAAUUCCAGCCCCGCCUGUUUACCAAAAACAUCGCCUCUUGACCCCAUAAGAGGUCCAGCCUGCCCAGUGACUCUGUUCAACGGCCGCGGUAUUCUAACCGUGCAAAGGUAGCGUAAUCACUUGUUUUCUAAAUAAAGACCAGUAUGAAAGGCACCACGAGGGCUAAACUGUCUCCUCUUUCUAAUCAGUGAACCUAAUCUCCCCGUGAAGAAGCGGGGAUCCAAAUAU
rnacentral:rRNA from 1 species